rfam:Alligator mississippiensis ScZkoYb_5, whole genome shotgun sequence.
CCAAAGGCUUUUUUCAGAGCCACCUCCCUCGCCAUAAAAAGGGCUCG